GGGCGGUAGUGGGUUUUAGGGUAAUAUUGUUUACGUCUCCUUUCCCACUUUCACUGUAUAUAUUGCUGCCAACUUUGCCUAACACUGCCUAUAUACUACUAGUUGGCUCCCAAUAAAUCCAAAAGGCCAAACUUUUUCUUGUGAACUCCGCUUAAUUGCAGAUUCUUGAUUCAUUGUCAGCCAACCCCACUUCUUAUAUUGGUAAAACAUGUCGACCGUAAGGCUUCCUUCCACUUGCAUGUUCAAAGCUGCACCUCUGAGUGAAAGAAAGAGUGCAUUUGUUAAAAUGCCAUUCUCAGUGGGCUCUGUAAGGAACAUCUCCAAAUCCUUUGGCUUGAAAGCUGACUCUAGCUUUAGAGUAUCAGCGAACGUGUACAAGGUCAAAUUGGUUUGUCCAGACGGUACUGAACACGAGUUUGAAGCACCUUCCGAUACCUACAUCCUCGAUGCAGCUGAGAAUGCUGGAGUCGAUCUCCCUUAUUCUUGCAGGGCUGGUGCUUGCUCAACUUGUGCUGGGAAGAUAGAGUCGGGUACUGUUGAUCAAUCUGACGGAUCUUUUCUGGACGACAACCAAAUAAAGGAGGGAUAUUUGCUCACUUGUGUUUCUUACCCAAACUCUGAUUGUGUGAUCCACACUCACAAGGAGGGUGAUCUUUACUAGUUAAAUCCUAUGUCAAAGCAAAGGUUAAAACAGUUAGAUAUUGCUUUUUUCCCCAUCUAGUGUCAAAACUAAAGGUUCAAUCAUGAACUUGUUUUGUUUCAUAAAUUGCUUUUUAUGUAAUGAAGUGUUUUUCUUAUAUAUGAUGGUUUAUAUUUUCC
rnacentral:misc_RNA from 1 species